rnacentral:lncRNA from 1 species
UAAAACACAAAAGAACGUGGUUCUCUUCUGGUUCAUCCCCAAAACCAAAUCCCAAAGCCGACAAUGGAUCGCGAUCUCGAACAAGAGAUAUGUUCCCUCGAGGAUUCAGGAAGAAAGGUACCAUCCAUCUCUCCACCUACCUUCGAAGCUUGGGCGCAAAUUAACGAUGCAGAAGACCAAGGAUAUGCAAGAUAUGAGAAACUGUUAUGAUGGAUUAUAAUCAGCAGCUGCCGCAACCGCAAAUAGUAUAUAUGGAACGUCACGAAACGCGCCAUUAGCGUCGAGAUGAACAAACAGCCAAACAGGUAUCACUUUAGUUUCUUUAGAUUUAGGCAAACAAGAAUGCUGUGUCCGGUGACAGCAGUGCUUUGGCCCUGGGAGGUGUUCGUAUCGGUACACAUGCUAUGAACUCAAGGGGUUUAGUUGAGAAAAGGAGGCGUAAAUAGAGAGGAUGGGUCAAUAAUGGAAGAGGCGUAAACAAAGAGAAUGGGUUAAUAAUGGAAGAGAUUGUGGCGACCCGCUUUGGCUGGAUUAAUAGCAGGUGCAAGGAGUUGAAAUGUGGCUGGGAAGUUUGGAAGAUAGAUCCUUGUAACAGUUUUUUUUUUUUUUUUUUUUUUUU